UGAGGAAUAUUGGUCAAUGCCCGCAAGGGUGAUCCAGCCAUGCCGCGUGCAGGAAGAAGCUUCUAUGGUUUGUAAACUGCUUUUGUUCGGGAAGAAACCCCCCUACGUGUAGGAGCUUGACGGUACCGUAUGAAUAAGCACCGGCUAACUACGUGCCAGCAGCCGCGGUAAUACGUAGGGUGCGAGCGUUAAUCGGAAUUACUGGGCUUAAAGGGUCCGCAGGCGGUUUUAUAAGCCAGUGGUGAAAGCCUACAGCUCAACCUUAGAACUGCCAUUGUUACUGCAACGCUGGAGUGCGACAGAAGGGGAUGGAAUACGACGUGUAGCAGUGAAAUGCUGAGAUAUGCGGAAGAACACCGAUGGAGAAGGCAAUUCCAUGGGCCUGCACUGACGCUCAUGGACGAAAGCGGGGGGAGAAAAAA
rnacentral:rRNA from 1 species